rnacentral:rRNA from 1 species
AACGAACGCUGGCGGCAGGCCUAACACAUGCAAGUCGAGCGAGAUCUUCGGGUCUAGCGGCGGACGGGUGAGUAACUCGUGGGAAUAUGCCUCUUGGUACGGAAUAGCCUCGGGAAACUGGGAGUAAUACCGUAUGUGCCCUUUGGGGGAAAGAUUUAUCGCCAAGAGAUUAGCCCGCGUUGGAUUAGGUAGUUGGUGGGGUAAUGGCCUACCAAGCCGACGAUCCAUAGCUGGUUUGAGAGGAUGAUCAGCCACACUGGGACUGAGACACGGCCCAGACUCCUACGGGAGGCAGCAGUGGGGAAUCUUAGACAAUGGGGGCAACCCUGAUCGAGCCAUGCCGCGUGAGUGAUGAAGGCCUUAGGGUUGUAAAGCUCUUUCAGCUGGGAAGAUAAUGACGGUACCAGCAGAAGAAGCCCCGGCUAACUCCGUG